rnacentral:lncRNA from 1 species
UGAGUUUAUGAACGAAUCCAAUCAAACUAAACUACACUAAACAGUUCUACCCAACAUUCACCUAGCUAUUCAUGUACAUUAGUUUAAACAGACAGAGUUCAGGAAGAGAUGAUUAAGCUUUCACUUCAUUUUCAACUUCAAAAUUACAUCAAGCCACUUUGUAAAUGUGUACCACUUAGAAAUAUACAACUGCAGUUAAUACUCCGAGCUUUAUGACUCAUUUUAUUCAUGCUUCAAGCUUUCGACUACAUUGUGUAUCAGUAUAAGUCGUGUACUGAUUAUUGGGAUAAAGGAAAGAGGAUGGUCAGUAAAGGAAAAGCAAAUGCAGGACCGCACAGCUUCAAUAACUCACAGAUUCCAGCCGAAAAUCCCACUAAUAGAUGAAGAAAACCAAACAGAAAGAGUCCACAAUAGAUGCACUAGUACUUGAAUACCAAUAUCAAAAUUCAGCAACACCCAAAUAUAUACCAGCAGCCCAGAAAGCAAAUAUCAAACAGAAAACCAAAACUCUCACACCACAAAUCCAGUAACACUCCAGAUGCACUCACAGUCAAAGCAAAAAUGAGGCAGAUGCAAGGAAAGCAAUAUUACUAAUUGUGAAUACUUAGAGAAAACCAUCUGAAACUUUGAAAUGAAGUGAAGCCUUAAACUCUAUCUUGCUCCCUUUAG